rnacentral:rRNA from 1 species
CCUACGGGAGGCUGCAGUGGGGAAUAUUGGACAAUGGGGGGAACCCUGAUCCAGCCAUGCCGCGUGUGUGAAGAAGGCCCUCUGGUUGUAAAGCACUUUCAGUGAGGAAGAACGCCUGGUGGUUAAUACCCAUCAGGAAAGACAUCACUCACAGAAGAAGCACCGGCUAACUCCGUGCCAGCAGCCGCGGUAAUACGGAGGGUGCGAGCGUUAAUCGGAAUUACUGGGCGUAAAGCGCGCGUAGGUGGCUUGAUAAGCCGGUUGUGAAAGCCCCGGGCUCAACCUGGGAACGGCAUCCGGAACUGUCAAGCUAGAGUGCAGGAGAGGAAGGUAGAAUUCCCGGUGUAGCGGUGAAAUGCGUAGAGAUCGGGAGGAAUACCAGUGGCGAAGGCGGCCUUCUGGACUGACACUGACACUGAGGUGCGAAAGCGUGGGUAGCAAACAGGAUUAGAUACCCCAGUAGUC